GUGUUUCUCUGUGACUCUCCCACCAUAUCUCCGUUGAUGUUUUAACCCUUUUAACCCUUGUAUUUUAAAAUCCUUGUUAUUUUCUCAUUGAGGGGAAGUUUGUAAUUUUCACAUUUUUAAAAAAGACUAAAAAGAUGUGAGUCACUCCUGCACCUGUUCACCUUGAGUUUAUCUUCAGGACACCAUGAACAUGGCUCCUCAUCAAAUCUAUACAAAUCACCGGAUGCUCCGUGGUACCAAUCAGGAUUCCACAUGAAACGCAGUGUGACUUACCACAAAGAGAAGACAGGGAAGAAACAUCAGGGUGCUGCUGUGGCAAUUCAGACACUGAUAUUUUACCACCAUCUAGUGGACACGGAUCUGCAGCCCGACUUCUUCAAAAUGAAGCAGAAAAGCUGUGUCUCUGUCCUGACUGGCUGCUCGCUCUUUCCCACCCAAAUCAAAGGAGUGGAGUCAUUGGAGGUCAUGUCUGGCCACCCCUCAGGAGAAUAACGGGGUCUAUGUCCGCCCCCCAAAACCCACCAACGGCUCUCCUCGGUCCCCAUGACAACAGCCAAGGACCCGGUAAGGCCCCCACUCUGGGGCGUCCAAGCAGAUGCCCAUAAUUAACGUGGCUAUAC